ensembl:lncRNA
UUUGUCUGAAAAUAAAAUAUGAUCCUCAACUACGUUUCCCCUCCAGUCAGCAGACGCGAUGUGCGUCUUUCAGGCGAUGCUGCCAGCGUGACGUAUAGUCUAGUGGACGGUUCUUCAGAAACAGCUCGUCAAGCACCUCCGUAGCUUGCUAGCGAACAUAGUCGAAAGAUUCAAGCUAUUUAUACGCUUUCGUUGUAUAUUAGCUACUGUGUUUUAUACACACUUCUAUCGUAUCUACUCGUUAACCCAUUUAAUUUAAUAUGACGUUAUUUUGUAUUAGUCAGAUAUAGUAGCUGGCUGGUUAAGUUAGCACUAGCCUAGUCGCUAAUGAUAGCUAGCUAGCUAACAUCCCAGAACAUGAGCUCCCUAAACUACUCUCCUGCUAAAGAAGAGGAGGUCUGCUGGACGGAGAAAGAAGCUCUGGGGCUGAACAUUGUCGUGAAAGAGGAGAAGGAAGAGGAGGAUGUCACAGUAAAACAAGUAGAGGGUGAGGCUGUUAGAGUGAAAGAAGAGGAUGUCGUUUUUGGUGUGAAAAAGAGGUUGGAGAUCUGUUUAACACCAGAGAGAGACGUGACUAUAGUGGAUCCUCUGGGGAGCUUCAACAACAUCAUGAUGCUGACGAGGCAGAGAAGAGUCUCCAGAUCAGGACACCUCAAGAAACCCCAGCAGAGACCCACAGGGAAGAAAUCUCACCACUGCUCUGACUCCCUGCGACAAAAGGACCAGCUGACAUCAUGUCAGUGAUUCUCUCGUUAACACAGGUGUGAGUGUUGAGGAGGACAAGGCUGGAGAUCACUCUGUCAUGCUGAUUGAGUUUGAAUAACAGACUGGAAACUUCAAAAGGAGGGAGGUGCUUGGAAUCAUUGUUCCACAGAGUCUAUAAAAGGCAAAGAUCAUUUAAUAAUAGAAGUGAUGUCACAACAAUAUGAAUAUGAGAAAUCCUGAUAACAAUGCAGAUAUCUCACCUGAAGUUGUUGUUUCUUCUUGUAAUCCUGAUAAUAAUGCAGAUAUCUCACCUCUAGUUGUUGUUUCUUCUUGUAAUCCUGAUAAUAAUGCAG